rnacentral:rRNA from 1 species
GUGCCAGCCGCCGCGGUAAUACGUAGGGAGCAAGCGUUGUCCGGAAUCAUUGGGCGUAAAGCGCGCGUAGGUGGCCUCAUAAGUCCGCUGUGAAAGUCAAAGGCUCAACCUUUGAAAGCCGGUGGAUACUGUGAGGCUAGAGUACGGAAGAGGCGAGUGGAAUUCCUGGUGUAGCGGUGGAAUGCGCAGAUAUCAGGAGGAACACCAAUAGCGAAGGCAGCUCGCUGGGACGUUACUGACACUGAGGCGCGAAAGCGUGGGGAGCGAACAGGAUUAGAAACCCCCGUAGUCC